rnacentral:rRNA from 1 species
GUAGGGAAUCUUCCGCAAUGGACGAAAGUCUGACGGAGCGACACCGCGUGGAGGAUGAAGGCCUUCGGGUUGUAAACUCCUUUUCCGGGGGAAGAAUAAGGCCAAUCGACUUGGUCGAUGACGGUACUCCGGGAAUAAGCCACGGCUAACUCUGUGCCAGCAGCCGCGGUAAGACAGAGGCGGCGAGCGUUGCCCGGAUUCAUUGGGCGUAAAGGGCGCCUAGGCGGUCGCGUGUGCCAUCGGUGAAAUUUCUCCGCUCAACGGGGAAACGCCCGGUGUGACUGCGCGGCUGGAGGGCGGGAGAGGGAAGUGGAACGACUAGAGUAGCGGUGAAAUGCGCAGAUACUAGUCGGUACCUCAAUAGCGAAGGCAACUUCCUGGCCCGUUCCUGACGCUGACGCGCGAAAGCGUGGGGAGCAAACCGGAUUAGAAACCCCGGUAGUCC